ensembl:lncRNA microtubule associated serine/threonine kinase 3
UCUUUAGAGGUCAAGCGUUUUCUUAAUAUGCCCAGUAUUACAAUAUCCAGAGUUAUGCAAGCUGCUAUUAACUUGUGUCAUUUCCUGUUUUUUUGGUCCAGCUGUCGCAGCAGCAACAGGAAGAGCCUUGGUGUCGGGACGCCCUCACCCACGCUGUCCCGGCCACUCUCCCCGCUCUCACUCCACACGGCUGCCAGCAGCCCUCUGGACAGCCCUCGAAAUGCAUCGACCAGUGCCUGCCUCAACUUUCCAUUCGCCCGAAGUCACUUGGCUCGGGCUGACAGAGCUGAGGGCCGGCGAUGGUCUCUGGCCUCCCUGCCCUCGUCUGGCUAUGGAACCAAUCCACCGAGCUCCACUGUCUCGUCCUCUUCAUCAUCCCAGGAGCGUCUUCAUCAGCUUCCCUACCAGCCAACACAAGAUGAACUGCACUUCCUCUUCAAACACUUCCGCAGCACAGACAGCAUGACAGAUGAGGAUGGACGCCCCUCGCCUGUCAUACGACCUCGGUCCCGCAGCCUCAGCCCUGGGCGUUCAAGUGUCUCCUUCGAUAAUGAGAUAGUCAUGAUGAACCACGUUUACAGAGAGCGUUUUCCAAAGGCCACAGCCCAGAUGGAGGAACGCUUGUUAGAGAUAGUCACCCACUAUUCUCCAGACAGCUCCCUCCCGCUGCCUGACGGGGUACUGGGCUUCAUCCAGCACCAGUUGGUGGAGCUGGUCAGAGACUGUCUGGAUAAGUCUCAGAAAGGUCUGGUUACUUCCCGCUACUUUGCUGAGCUGCAGGAAAAGCUGGAAAAGCUGUUUCAUGAGCGCUCUGAAAGCGAGGAGGUAACUGUCAUCACCCAGCUGGUUAGGAAGAUCCUCAUCAUAAUCUCUCGGCCGGCUCGCCUCCUUGAAUGUCUGGAGUUUGACCCGGAAGAGUUUUAUCACCUACUUGAAGCAGCAGAGGGUCAUGCCAAAGUCGGCCAGGGAAUUAAGACGGACAUCCCGCGCUACAUCAUCAGCCAGCUCGGCCUGACGCGGGACCUGUUGGAAGAUAUGGUACAGCUGGAACAGUAUGAUACCAGUCCUACAGUUUCGGUGGAACCAGAACCUAACGCUCCACAGACGCUGACUCCAACUCGAAGAAAACCACUGGAAAGCGAUUUUGAGACCAUCAAACUUAUUAGUAACGGAGCUUAUGGGGCCGUGUAUCUGGUCCGUCACAAGGAGACUCGUCAGCGAUUUGCCAUGAAAAAGAUAAAUCGUCAGAACCUGGUGCUAAGGAAUCAGAUUCAGCAGGCAUUCGUGGAGCGGGACAUCCUAACCUUUGCUGAGAACCCUUUUGUUGUCUCCAUGUUCUGCUCUUUUGAGACACGGCGUCAUCUUUGCAUGGUCAUGGAGUAUGUAGAAGGUAAACAAAAGCUUUUUUUCUCACAGAUUACACAUACAUAUAUAAUCUUUUUUUGUCUUUUGCCACUUGACAGUUUGCUGAUAACCUCCAUGGGUCACAUCAAGCUGACAGAUUUUGGCCUGUCUAAAAUUGGACUGAUGAACAUGACCACCAACCUGUACGAAGGUCACAUUGAGAAAGACACAAGAGAAUUUGUUGACAAACAGGUAUGUGGCACUCCAGAGUACAUUGCUCCAGAGGUGAUCCUUAGGCAGGGCUAUGGGAAGCCAGUGGACUGGUGGGCAAUGGGGGUCAUUCUUUAUGAGUUUCUGGUUGGCUGUGUUCCAUUUUUUGGAGACACCCCUGAAGAGCUUUUUGGACAAGUUGUUAGUGAUGAAAUAAUUUGGCCAGAAGGAGACGAUGCCCUACCUACUGAUGCACAGGACCUGAUUACUCGUCUGCUGAGGCAGAACCCUUUAGACCGAAUUGGAACAGGUGGAGCCUCAGAGGUGAAGCAGCAUCCUUUCUUCCUGGGUUUAGACUGGAAUGGACUUCUCCGACAGAAAGCAGAGUUCAUCCCUCAGCUGGAGGCGGAGGAUGACACCAGCUAUUUUGACACUCGGUCAGAACGCUACCAUCAUUUGGCAUCUGAUGAGGACGAAGAAACCAAUGAUGAAGAGUCUUCCCUAGAAAUUAGACAGUUUGCUUCCUGGUCACAUCGCUUCAGUAAGGUUUACAGCAGCACAGAACAUCUGGCAACACCUUCCAACUUGAGCUUCUCAUCAGACCGCAGUCACAGUGAGGACAAGGAGGACCGUAGCCGUUUGUUGGCAUAUGGAAAAUGGAGCUCUUGUGUUAAAAAAAAUAAACUAAUUUACCCCUCUGUUCGUAGCCUUCGGCCUAGGGCCUCCUCCAGCUCCUCCCAGUCAGAGAGAAGCACCAGUCCUCUAGUGAUGACCAGCACUCACAGUCUGGAGACAAUGCCACGUUUUGCCCUCUCCACUGAUGAUGAAGGUAAAUUCAGACCUGUGGUGGUGUCAAACCUUCGGAGAAUCAGAAUUCGGAGCAACAGCACUGGGGCUAAACACUCAUCCCCUAAGGACCCAGCAGGCCCUCGGCGCUUCGGUAACCAGCUGGAAACACCAGACAGGCAGAGGCUUCCCUGUGGAGGAAAGGUUCCAAAGUCAGCCUCUGUCUCUGCAUUGUCUCUCAUCAUUACUACAGAUGACUCUCCCAGUGGCCUCCAGCCCAGUCCCAUUUCGCCACGUUCACUUUCUUCCAACCCCUCAUCUCGUGACUCGUCCCCUAACCGAGAUCUGUUCUUCAGCCCCGGCAGCCUCAGGCCACCAAUCGUCAUCCACACCUCAGGGAAGAAGUACGGCUUCACCCUGCAGGCCAUCCGGGUCUACAUGGGUGACAGUGAUGUGUACACUGUGCAUCAUAUGGUGUCGAGUGUGGAGGAGGGCAGCCCAGCUCACCAGGCAGGUCUCUGCACUGGAGACCUCAUCACCCACGUGAACGGAGAGUCUGUCCAAGGCCUGGUCCACCCAGAGAUGAUAGAACUGCUACUGAAGAGUGGCAGCAAGGUGGCUCUGCAGACCAUAGCACUGGAGAACACGUCAAUCAAAGUUGGCCCAGCUCGAAAAACCAAACACAAAGGCAAGAUGGCACGUCGCAGCAAGAAGAGCAAGAGGAGAGAUAAUUACGACAGGCGACGGAGUAUCUUAAAGAAGUUAUCCAAGCAGAGUACAGUGAUGCACAGCAGUCGCAGCUUCUCCUCAGGCCUCCAUCACUCAGUUUCCUCCAGUGAGAGUCUUCCAGGCUCCCCGACACACAGCCUCUCCCCUGGUCCUUCCACACCCUGUCGGAGCCCUGCACCUGACCAUCAGGGCUGUGACAACACUCCUUGCUCUCCUCAGAGCACAUCUCCUUGCUCCAGCUCUCCUAGCUCCCCUGCUGCACACAUCCGGCCCAGCUCGCUCCAUGGCCUGGGAUCCAAACUCAGCACGCAACGCUACACCAAGGUUGGCCGUCGGAAGUCGACCAGUAACAUCCCUCCAUCCCCGUUGGCCUGCAACUCCUCCUCAUCUUCUAACCAGCCUCUUUCCCCAGCCUGGCAGCCAGGCAGUGGGGAGCGCUCACCGUCCCCACUUCCAGGCUUUGCCAAAACUCUUCACACCUUCCAUGGCAAAACCCUGUCACCACCCACCAUUGUUAGACAUGUUGUUCGGCCCCGCAGUGCUGAACCACCCCGGUCUCCACUGCUCAAGAGGGUGCAGUCAGCUGAGAAGCUGUCUGGAGUUUAUCAUGUUGACAAGAAACUGGGGUGCUACAUAAGCAGUCAAAGGAUAGAACGGUCAGAGCAGCUAGUUGUGAUGCGGAAGCUCAACCUAUCAGAGCGGCGAGACUCCUUUAAGAAGCAAGAGGCAGUGCAGGAGGUGAGCUUUGAUGAGCCAGAGGAGAAAAAUGGCACCACAGUGACCACCGCAGCCCCAGGAGCCCAAACACAGUGUCAGCAGCAGCACAGGAUAGCCUGGAUGGCCACUCGACCCCAGAGCAGCCAGGAGGUGGAGCUGGAAGUCCCGGUGGUGAGGAGGUUUACAUUGGUGCCCCAAAUCGCCGUGCAGGGCUCAACAGAAAGUGAGGAGCAGGAUGAGUGGGAGCCAUGCUCAGAUGGAGAGGAAUCCACUGAUAGGCCUGAGCUGGAGGUGAGCAUCACUUCAAUUCAGCAGCAGCAAACAGGACAUCCUCUUGCUGACAGCAGCUGCAGUGAGGCAGAAACCACUUCCUCUGGUCCUGCACCAGCAUCAGAGAAACCUGAGUGCAGAGAGGAAAUGCCCCAAAAAGGGCCUUUGAGAAAAUGA